UGGUCUGUAGCUCAGUUGGUUAGAGCGCACCCCUGAUAAGGGUGAGGUCGAUGGUUCAAGUCCAUUCAGACCAACCA
rnacentral:tRNA from 1 species